UACGGGGGGGGCAAGCGUUGCUCGGAAUCACUGGGCGUAAAGGGCGCGUAGGCGGAUCUUUAAGUCGGGGGUGAAAGCCUGUGGCUCAACCACAGAAUUGCCUUCGAUACUGGGGAUCUCGAGACCGGAAGAGGUGAGUGGAACUGCGAGUGUAGAGGUGAAAUUCGUAGAUAUUCGCAAGAACACCAGUGGCGAAGGCGGCUCACUGGUCCGGUUCUGACGCUGAGGCGCGAAAGCGUGGGGAGCAAACAGG
rnacentral:rRNA from 1 species